AUGAGCUAUCCUGCUGCACUACUCACGGUUCUCCAACAGCAGCCACAAGUACUAGUACCACUAUCAAUUAACUACAGGAAGCCAGCUUACUGCUUAGACAGGGACGGCACAGCCGCAACAAGCAAUUUUCCGGUGACAGAACCAAAUCCACUUCUCAGCACGGAUCUUCAAGGUGCAUCAUACUACGUUACAAACUCAACGAGAUGGGGUGUUAGCAACAUCGGGAAAUUCGUGGAUUCCCCCAAUGGGAGUUACAUAAUAGACACUUCUCGCCUGUUUACCGACGCACUUGAUUCUGAACUAUUUGAGACAUCCAGAAUGGCACCCUCUUCAUUGAGAUACUACGUUGUACUUCAAUUUGCGGAGAUCUUUUUCCCAGAUGACCAGACAUGGACAAGCGUGGGAAAGAGGAUUUUCAAUAUAUAUAUCCAGGUAGCAACGGUGAAGAGGAUCCUGGUCCACAGAAAAACAGCACUACCAAUAACACAGAAAAUGUAA
rnacentral:rRNA from 1 species